UCGUCCGUAACGUUCAAAUGUACUGGCACUUUUCGACACAAAAUCUAAACAGCCACUCAAACGGUUAAAAUAUACAGAACUUCAAAAGCAUACGAAAAUCAGCAACGUCGGUUAAUCCUCGACGAUCGUUGGAAGAAAUUAGAAAAAUCAACGAUCAAUUUCUACGAUAUAAAUCUCACGAAAGCUUCUCAUUCUGCACGAAUAAUUUCCGUAGAUGAUUUUAAGAAUUUGCAUAAAUUGUAUCUCAAGAACCACCUAACCGCCAAGGAAUAAAUAAAUCAUUGAAAUAUCUAAGAAUUGAGAUAAUGAAAGAACAGUGGAACACGACAUCGAAUAUUUCGUUACUGCGAUUAUUAUUUUAUAAAUUUUAUAUAUCAUAUAAUAAAUUAUUUAUAAUUUAGCAAUAUUUACGUGGCCAACUGCUGCUUUUUACAAUGUAAACUGCGAAAAAUCGGUAUCAUUCGGAACGCAAUUCUAGCAAAUGCGCGUCAUCGCGUUGGAUAUUUCGAUAAUGGAUCGAACGUAAUACAGAAUUCAUAAUAUAAUUACCACGCAACGCUGAGAAUCCGUGCAUUCGAUCUACGAAUGCAAACAGCGAUAACUAGAACGUUUAUCGGUCGAAAUCCUCGAAUAUAAACUCCAUCUGCCUUGCGAUAGCGUCUUCACAUUUCCAGCUUCCUAUACACAACAGUGUCGAUGCUAACAAGAGAAAGAGAGAAGAGAAUUGCACAACUCGUGACAGUUAUAGACCUCUGGUGGGAUAAUUUCUCACCUAACUAUAGCAAUAAAUUGAGAAAUUGUGGCUUGCAGAUUAUAUCACGCGGGUAGAACAGUUACAGAAAUGAACUGGUUCCGGUGAGAACAGUUUGCAAUUUCGAUCGAAAUCUUCUGCCGCUCUUUCGUUUGUGGUAGAAAAAGAAGAAAAGAAAUAAAAGCGAAAUUGAAAACCGUCGUAUUUGUUGGAAAAGUUUGUAGGAUGAAAAUUUCUUUAUUAUCCGCUCUAUUUCUUUGUUUCUAUAAUUCGUCACGUAGUUCUUGCUUUAGAAAGAAAUUUUCCUUUUCUUUUCUUUUUUUUUUUCGUCGAUGCCGUCGAUCGAUACGCGUGGAAGGAAAUUUAACGCUGGAAAUACGCGAGCUGAACGGUAAUCCAGCAAUAUUCGAAAGAUGAAAGAAAUAAAGUCCGGAAAAUCCCUGAAACAAUGUCAAUUUCUCUGGAAAGACUUUCGUAGGAGAAGGCGGAGCAAACUUACGAACAUUACUCGUAAAGUAUGUCUUUUAAAAAUUAUUAGAACAAACUUCACAAAGGCUGUGAUGGUAUUGGUGGAACAAAAUAAUUGUUUAAAAAUAAUUACUUCAUUGAUAUGUCAUACUGCUUAGCGCUAGCUGCAUACGUUAUUUUGAUAUUUCGUUGGAUUUAAAUAGAAGAGGCCCGAGUGGCAACGAGCAACAGGAAAAGUUGCCCGAAGCGAGACUAAAAGCUAGAAGCACUUCAAGUCGUCGGGUACAGACGUUAUAUUCCAGCUUCUGCGAAAGAAAUCUCAUUGAUCCUUUGGUGGCGUGUGAUUAUCUGGCCUCUCGAGUCUGACAAUGGCGCUCGUCCAUCAACUUAUAACAGUAAAGACUCCCUCUGGAGCGUUUAAUUUCAGUUCUUCAAGAAUAACAUUGGUUAUACGACGAAUAGAAAGGAAAUAGUACGCCAGAUACAGAGCCAAUGAAAGAAUGGAAGAACUGAGAUGAAACGACUAUGCAAACGGUACAAGCAAAUCGAGUAGAACGUUAACGACGCGAUGAUAAGAAGAUAAAAAAAAUACAGAAACAGAGUAAACAAAUUUUCUCAAUGCGAUUGUAAUAAAUUUGAACGCGCAAGCAAAUUAAUUCAAAAAAUUCAAAUACGCCGUUUGAAUAUUUAUUAGAGGAUGUAACGUGAAAUGGAUUGUAAAUUAAAUUAAGUUCUUCCACGACCAUAUUAUGCUCCGUCAUUCGUAAAAUCGUGUUGAAAAAUCGAUUUGUACGAAAAAGUCGCAAUUUCAGUUUCGGCUCAAAGGGAAAAGUUCCAUUACACUACUGCGGACGAAUCGAUGCACCCAUAAAAAAAUCCUGUCAGCGGAGAACGGAACUCAUUAAACCAUGCAAAUUUUCCCUCUUUUAUUUUUUCCUUAUUUUUAUUCGAAAUGAAGUUGGUCCGGUUGCUGAGAUCGCUCUGUGCAUAAACGAGUUUAGAAACGCUACUACUUCUACUUAAGCAAGAUUGCUGCAACAAAUUUGUAAGGAAGAAGCUUACUUGAUUUAAUUAAAAAUUUCAAUGUUAUCGCUUGAUACAUUUCCCUUCCUUGUACGUAGUAAGCGUAUAGUUUUAUCUUUUUUAAAAAUGAUAUAGUUUGAAUAAAGUUUAUGUCACAUUGAUUGUAGAAUUAUUAGGCAAUAAGAAGCAAUGAAACCUGAAUUUGAUAUAUUACCAAUUUUAUGUCAUAAAUCUACUUCAUGAUCGCGCAUGAAGUAAUGUAAAUGUCGAGAGCCCAUUUUUUUUAAUUAUCUUGUCUACCAGAGCUGAAUUUAUUGAAUGUUGGUUUAUUAGUUAUACGGUAUUGCUAUUUAACAUCUACGCUGGAAGCAAUGUUGCUUCUCUUCCUAACAUUACUAAUUAAAUUUCAAAAUAUUUUUUCAUACCGUAUUCGCAUAGUUGCGAUUAAUGGACAGAAUUUUCUGUCUUACGAGAGAUGCAUUAAACGUGCAAUCAAAAACAUAUUACUUUUAUAAAAUAACUUACCUGUUCGAAGCCGCCUAAAAUUUCCGUAGUAUCCAUCGCAGAAUUGACGACGAUCGAUUUCAGCUUCCGCCCGGCCAGGUUUGCAAGAAGAUGUACAAGACUGGUCUUUCCGGUUCCAGAUCCACCAAUCUGUUACAGAAUUGAUACAUAUAUUAGUUAAUAAAAUGUUUGUUCGAGGAAGUUAAACCAGUUUGCAAACUACUUACGAGAAUGGCCAUCCAAUUCAUGUUAACACACUGCGCAAGUCCCUU